CAAUAGCGUAUAUUUAAGUUGUUGCAGUUAAAAAGCUCGUAGUUGGAUUUCGGAUGGGACUUGCCGGUCCGUCGUUUCGAUGUGCACUGGCCAGUCCUAUCUUGUUGUCGGGGACUAGCUCCUGGGCUUCACUGUCCGGGACUAGGAGCUGACGAGGUUACUUUGAGUAAAUUAGAGUGUUCAAAGCAAGCCUACGCUCUGAAUACAUUAGCAUGGAAUAACACGAUAGGACUCUGGCUUAUCUUGUUGGUCUGUGAGACCAGAGUAAUGAUUAAGAGGGACAGUCGGGGGCAUUCGUAUUUCAUUGUCAGAGGUGAAAUUCUUGGAUUUAUGAAAGACGAACUUCUGCGAAAGUAUUUGUCAAGGAUGUUUUCAUUAA
rnacentral:rRNA from 1 species